CGACGCCGCGUGAGGGAUGACGGCCUUCGGGUUGUAAACCUCUUUCGCCAGGGACGAAGCGCACGUGACGGUACCUGGAGAAGAAGCACCGGCCAACUACGUGCCACCAGCCGCGGUAAUACGUAGGGUGCGAGCGUUGUCCGGAAUUACUGGGCGUAAAGAGCUCGUAGGCGGUUUGUCGCGUCGGCUGUGAAAUUCUGCAGCUUAACUGUAGGCGUGCAGGCGAUACGGGCAGACUUGAGUACUACAGGGGAGACUGGAAUUCCUGGUGUAGCGGUGAAAUGCGCAGAUAUCAGGAGGAACACCGGUGGCGAAGGCGGGUCUCUGGGUAGUUACUGACGCUGAGGAGCGAAAGCGUGGGGAGCAAACAGGAUUAGAUACCCUGGUAGUCCACGCCGUAAACGGUGGGUACUAGGUGUGGGUUCCAUUUCACGGGAUCCGUGCCGUAGCUAACGCAUUAAGUACCCCGCCUGGGGAGUACGGCCGCAAGG
rnacentral:rRNA from 1 species